UACGUAGGGGGCAAGCGUUGUCCGGAAUUAUUGGGCGUAAAGCGCGUGUAGGCGGCUCGGUAAGUCUGCUGUGAAAGUCCAGGGCUCAACCCUGGAAUGCCGGUGGAUACUGUCGAGCUCGAGUCCGGAAGAGGCGAGUGGAAUUCCUGGUGUAGCGGUGAAAUGCGCAGAUAUCAGGAGGAACACCAAUGGCGAAGGCAGCUCGCUGGAUCGGUACUGACGCUGAGGUGCGAAAGCGUGGGGAGCAAACAGG
rnacentral:rRNA from 1 species